UAGACAUGGAUAAGAAUUCCACACAGAGAAGUGCUGAAGAUGCCGGAGCUGGCAGAUACAAAGGUAAACACAAACAAAAGAGAAAAAAAAAGAGAAACCAAAAACAUCACCGAUGCCGACAUAGAUCGGGGGCAUCUUAUUCUUCAGAUGAUCGUGUGUUUCCUUCUUCUUCAUCAUCUUCUUCAGGGAGCCAGACGGAUUCGAGUACUGAAGUGUGAAUAGAGUUCCUGCUUGUAAACAAAGGAAACUGACUCUAGCUGAUUUAAAUGGGAAAGGAAUUUAUUGAAAGGACAUUGAGUAACUC